AGAAUCAACGCUGGCGGCGUGCCUAACACAUGCAAGUCGCACGAGAAAGUGGAGCAAUCCACGAGUAAAGUGGCGCACGGGUGAGUAACACGUGAAUAAUCUACCUCCGAGUGGGGAAUAACUGAGAGAAAUCUUAGCUAAUACCGCAUAAUACCCACGGGUCAAAGCAGCAAUGCGCUUGGAGAGGAGUUCGCGGCCGAUUAGCUAGUUGGCGGGGUAAUGGCCCACCAAGGCGAUGAUCGGUAUCCGGCCUGAGAGGGCGCACGGACACACUGGAACUGAAACACGGUCCAGACUCCUACGGGAGGCAGCAGUGGGGAAUUUUGCGCAAUGGGGGAAACCCUGACGCAGCAACGCCGCGUGGAGGAUGAAAUCCCUUGGGAUGUAAACUCCUUUCGAUAGGGAAGAUAAUGACGGUACCUAUAGAAGAAGCCCGGCUAACUUCGUGCCAGCAGCCGC
rnacentral:rRNA from 1 species